CGGGGAGGGAAGAUGCUCCCCUGAGGUUUUGUUUGGGGUUUUUGUUUAGUUAAAUUAAAAUAACAUUAUUGGAGUAUGUAUGAAAAUUAUGAGUUGUAAAGAACGAAUGGUAUUGAAGGUAAUACAUUUUUUUAAAUAAAAAAUCAAAUAAAAAAAGCUUGUUAUGUACUUCGAUAGGUUAUUACAUUGAAAACUGCUUAUGGUCUGAAUAAGUGCAAGUUAAGCCGAAAUCAGCCUCCCGCUGUGCCACGAGAGUCUAGGUUCGAGUCCAGGCUCUGUUGCAUCCGGCUGCGACCGGGAGACCCAUGGGGCGGCACACAAUUGGCCCAGCGUCGUCCGGGUUAGGGGAGGGUUUAGCCGGCAGGGAUGUCCUUGUCGCAAGGUGUAGGGUGUUUCGUCAGACAUUGGUGCGUCUGGCUUCCGGGUCGAGUUUUUUUUUUUGGCUUCCGUGUUUAGUGGGCAUUGUGUCAAGAAGCAGUGCGGUUGGGUUGUGUUUCGGAGUAUGCACGGCACUCGACCUUCGCUUCUCCCGAGUCCGAACGGGAGUUGCAGCGAUGAUACAAGACUAACUACCAAUUGGAUACCACGAAAUUGGGUAGAAAAAGGUAAAUCAAAUCCAAAAAGUUUGGCCCAAAUCUGCCUCAAAAGAAUAGUUUGGAAAGUAUUCGAGCUCCUUCACUAUUCCAUAUUUUGUUAUGUUAGUCUUUUUCUAAAAUGUAUUAAAUUGUUUCCCCCCCCCAAAUCAAUCUACACACUAUCCCAUAAUGACAAAGCAUUAUCGGGUCCCUCUUGUUGCACAGCUAUUUUCAGGUCUCUGGAGAUGUUCGAUCUGGUUCAAGUCCAGGGACAAGCUGGGCUACUCAAGGAUAUUCAGAGAACUGUCCCAAAGCCACUCCUGCAUUGUCUUGGCUGUGAGCUUAGGGUCAUUGUCCUGUUGGGAGGUGAACCGUCACCCCAGUCUGAGGAUCUCUCUGUACUUUGCUCCAUUCAUCUUUCCCUUGAUCCUGACUAGUCUCCCAGUCUCUGCAAAACAUCCCCACAGCAUGAUGCCUGCCACCACCAUGCUUCACCUUAGGAAAGGUGAUGAGCAGUGCCUGGAUUCCUCCAGAUGUGACACUUGGCAUUCAGGCCAAAGAGUUCAAUCUUGGUUUCAUCAGACCUGAGAAUGUUGUUUCUCAUGGUCAGAGUCCUUUAGGUGCCUUUUGGCAAACUCCAAGCGGGCUGUCAUGUAUCUUUUCCUGGGGAGUUGCUUGCGUCUGGGCACUCUACCAUAAAGGCCUGAUUUGCAGGAGUGCUGCAGACAUGGUUGUCCUUCUGGAAGGUUCUCCCAUCUCCACAGAUGAACUCUGCAGCUAUGUCAGAGUGACCAUCACUUCCUUGACCAAAGCCCUUCUGCCCCGAUUGCUCAGUUUGGCCAGGCAGCCAGCUCGAGGAGGUUCCAAACAUCUUCAAUUAAAGAAUGGAGGCCACUGUUCUUGAGGACCUUCAAUGCUGCAGAAUUGUUUUGGUAGCCUUCCCCAGAGCUGCACCUUGACACAAUCCUGUCUCGGAGCACGACGGACAAUUCCUUUGACCUCAUGGCUUGGUUGUUGCUCUGCCAUGCACUCAACUGUGGGACCUUAUAUAGACAGGUGUGUAGAUCACUAUGGGGUGUUGUGUGUAGAUUAAUGAGGACAUUAUACGUAUACCAUUUUAGAAUAAGGCUAUAAAGUAACACAAUGUGGAAAAAGUGACGGGUUGUGAAUACUUUCGAAAUGCACUGUAUGUAUGUAUGUAUGUAUGUAUGUAUGUAUGUAUGUAUGUAUGUAUGUAUGUAUGUAUAUAAUAAUAAUAAUAUAAUAAUAUAUGCCAUUUAGCAGACGCUUUUAUCCAAAGCGACUUACAGUCAUGUGUGCAUACAUUCUACGUAUGGGUGGUCCCGGGGAUCGAACCCACUACCCUGGCGUUACAAGCGCCAUGCUCUACCAACUGAGCUACAGAAGGACACAUGUAUGUAUGUAUGUAUGUGUGUGGGGGUGUGUAUCCUGUAGAACACUGAGGCCAAAUGUCUUUAGCCUCCUGAGGUUGAAGAGUCGCUGCCGUGCCUUCUUCACCACGGUGUAGGUGUGGUUUGACCAUUUCAGCUCAUCUGAGAUGUGUACGCAGAGGAAUUUGACAUUUUUGACAGUCUACAUGGCGACCCCUUUGAUGAGGAUGGGGGCGUUCCCAACCUGGUUCCUCCUGAAGUCCACAAUCAGAACCACACCAUCCGAGUGCCUACCUCAUAUCUCGUCAGCAAACUUGAUGAUGGAGUUGGAACUGUGUGAGGCCGCUCAGUCGUGGGUAUACAGGGAGUACAGGAGGGGACUGACGAAACACCCUUGUGGGGCCCCCAUGUUGAGGAUCAGUGUGGAGGAGGUAAUGGAGCCUACCAUCACUACCUGACGCAACAAGCACACUGACUACGACAUCUGAGAGGAGAAAAAGGGAAGGGAGGGAGGAAGGGGAAUGGGAUGGAGGCAGAGAGAGAAGAAGAAUGAUUUUGAUUUGGUUUCAGUUGACAAUUUUGAUGCCAGAGAGCCUGGAUGUUGCUUUUGAGGCCUUUGCACCCCACCUGGAAAGUAAACUAGGGGAAAGGCUGACCUGUUCCAGCAGGGAGUCCUGUUCAUACAGCAGCCUGACCUCCUCCAACUCCAUUAUCUCCUUCUCCAGCUCUCACACCAGCUCCUUCCUCCACCUCCCUCUUUCUCUUUUUAGCUGGAGGUGUAGGACAGGGGUUUUCUUCUCUCCUCCCUCCUCUCUGCCUCUAGCUGUUCCAGCAGUCUGGCCCACCUCCUCUGGUUAUUGGCCACGGCUACAGGCCCUGUUGGUAGGAUUGGCACAAUCAUCAAUACCACUGAAUUAUUGGGGCGGGGGGAUAUUCAUACUACAUGUGAUAGUAGUUAGUUACUGUAUGUGUAUGGUUCUAUCAUAUUUCAUUUUAAAUCAUUGUCAUUAAAUCAUUCGCAGAGUCACAUGGAGAUAGUCAUGUAGGGAAGAGUGAAGACAGUGAUUCUGAAGGACUAGGAAACUCCACCAGAGGCCAUAUGAUAAGACUCACAGUUCAGCCCACUCCUUCAUCCUCUUCUCUGUCUUAGCCGGGCACACUCUGCCUUCUACAUAGCUUUGCAGAGUUUUUCUACCUGGCGUCUUGCUGCCGCCUGGACGAGCCGCAAGAACAGCCUCCUCACCUUGGUCUUCCUGGUCCGCUGGCCAGGGACACGCACAUUAUGCUAUAUAAACAGUAACAGGUCAUGGAACCUCUGGAACAGUGCCAGCAGACGAUAGGUGGAGAUCCUCUGGUCACUCUGGAACGCUACCACGGUAAUCCCAGAACCUGGAAGAAACAAUGGGCAAAUAUGAAAUGGCACCCUACCAGGGGUCUUUGGCCUUGCUGUGCUGCAGGGCUUUCAGCAGGUCCUCCUGGGCAGCAGGCUGAAGGAGAAGAUGUUGACGUCCUCCCCGUCGUCAGGACAAACUGGCCAUCAAAGCUUCAGCACAGCUGUCCGUACUGGUUGUCGUUGGAGACUGAGGGCCAAGGAGGCCUGCAUGGAGGUCGCAUGGCUGCGAGGGGAGGCCCUGACACUGCCGGACUGCAUACUCUUCCUCCUCAUUUUCCUCCUGCGGCUCUUCAUCAGUGGGCUCACGGGCCUGCUCCUUGGCUUGCUUCAGCCGGGCCUCUCUCUCUCUGCCUUUUCUCCUUCAGAGCCUGCCUGAAUGCAAUCUCCUCCUCCCGCUGACAUUUAAAUAUUUACAAACACAUCUCUAGUUUGUGUUUAAAGUUUACAGUACAGUUCAUCUCAGACAGUGAGGGCCAAACCUUGAUGUGUAAUUUUAUGCUGCUGAAGGUAAAGUGUCAGAGGUGUGGUUGGUGGUGCUGUGGCACUGGGCCUCCAGGUCUGGAGACUGCACUUCCACCAUUUCACCACUCCAAUACAGUGCCAGCAGGGUGUUCUUGUCCUGAACACUCAUGUGCACACACAGAAGGAGAGUUAUGACUUAUUAACUAGUGAUGUGCAGUUUGCAUAUUAUUCGUUAUUUUUGAACGACUCUUUCUACUGACUCGAGAGUCAUGAUUCGUUUUUCUGUGUGACCACUUAAUUUUAGUUGUUUGAUUGACCUGCUAAUCUCGGUUAACCCAGAACUAAAGUAUUGCGCAAUUGGUCAGAUGCUUGAUUACCAUUUAUUUUUGCAGAGUCUGUCCAUGAGAGAUUACAAUGAGUUCUAGAGCACGAUUGAUAAAUGUUCCUCCGGCUCAGCGGCUCCAUCGACGUCUUCCGACAAAACAAAUGUCUGUCACACAUGUCCACAGGAAAAUAGAUCAUGCUGCAGGCAGCAUAGAUUAGAAACAUACAAGCACACUUUUUUUACAAGUCUCAGUUCACAAAUGAGACUAUGGUGAACGACAUGUGAACGAGAGUCUUGUAGAAUUAUGACUCAUGAGUUUUCAGUUCAUCGUUCGCCGGUAUUGUGUUCUGGGAAUUACUGGCUCAAAUUAACUAAAUUAGUCAUACAAAUUAUUUAUUUUGACUCAACGAGUCGAAAAGAUCACAGUCAUUAAAAAGAGCCAAACUUCCCAUCACUAUUAUUAACCUCACGUGCCAUUGUCUUUUGUCAAUAUUUCACUGAUCUAGGAUCAGACUGACAUGUGACUGGGGGUAACACUCCAGCCCCUGUACAUGUCCUGGGACUGUGACAAAGCCAAGGUCAAGGUCGUACCUGUCCCCCGUGGUGAAGAACACAGUACAGUCCAUACUAUAGAGCCGGGUUUCCCAAACUCAGUCGUGUGGCCCCCCCCCCCCCUGGGUGCACGUUUUGGUUUUUGCUCUAGCACUACACAGCGGAUUCAAAUAAUCAUAGCUUGACGAGGAUAUGGUCAUUUGAAUCAGCUGUGUAGUCAUAAACCAAAACGUACACCCAGGGAUGUCCCCAGGACCGAGUUUAGGAAACCCCGCUCUGGAGAGGGAAGGAGAGAUUGUGGAGGGGAGGUUUAUUGAUAUUGGUUAUUGUUGCAUCCUAAGAAGCUGGGUUCUUUUACUGAAGACUCCUAGGUGUACUUAUAAUAACCGGAACAGAUCUAUUUAAAUGUUCUCCUUAACACAUUACAGUCGACUACACUCUACAGCACAUAUGUCAGAGUCAAGGCCCGCGGGCCACAUCCGCC